UACGGAGGGGGCAAGCGUUGUUCGGAUUCACUGGGCGUAAAGGGUGCGUAGGCGGAAAUAUAAGUGAAACGUGAAAUCCCAGGGCUCAACCCUGGAACUGCGUUUCAAACUAUCUUUCUUGAGUAUAGGGGAAGUAAAUGGAAUUCUCAGUGUAGCGGUGAAAUGCGUAGAUAUUGAGAGGAACAUCAAUGGUGAAAACAGUUUACUAUCCUAAUACUGACGCUGAGGCACGAAGGCUAGGGGAGCAAACAGG
rnacentral:rRNA from 1 species